rnacentral:lncRNA from 1 species
UCUGUGAGAUCCUAGUGCAAGGUCGUGCUAGGAGUGAGAAAUCCGACACGAGUGAAGUGUGGGUACUGAAGAGUGGACUCUUCAGUGAAACGGUUGUAUGCACCCGGCAAGCACACGGUUCGAUUUGCAGUGCACCAGUUAAGCACUUGCGGAGUGGAUUGUUGGUCUGAUCAACCGACCGUGAAUGUAGGAAAGUGUUUUCCGAACCAUGUAAAAGU